rnacentral:lncRNA from 1 species
CUGUCAAUCCUGGAAGACGCAGAGGAGCUUUCUGGCCAAGAUGUUGAUAUUAUCAACAAAUCUACCUGCAUGGUAUAGAUAAGAAAAUUAUAUACCUUACCCCCCCUUAAAUUAUAGAAAGAUCGAUUUUUUAUUUGUUCUGAAAUGCUAUAAUUUCUCUUUUUCAUACAGGCUCUAAUUCUAGGAGCUUCAGACACUACAACGGUGACACUAACUUGGGCUUUGUCAUUACUACUCAACAAUCGCCACGUCCUAAAGAAAGCACAACAAGAAUUAGACAGCGUCGUCGGUAGAGAAAGGCAAGUGAACGAAUCAGACAUGAAGGAUUUGGUUUACCUUCAAGCCAUCAUCAAAGAAAUUUUUAGGUUGUAUCCUGCUGCUCCAUUAUCAGUGCAACAUGAAUCCAUAGAAGACUGCAGUGUAGGAGGCUAUCACAUUCCAUCAGGCACACGCCUUAUUGUAAAUCUCUCAAAACUUCAUAGAGAUUCACGGGUAUGGUUGAAUCCUUCAGAGUUUAAACCAGAAAGGUUUCUUACAACCCACAAGGAUAUUGAUUUCAAGGGCCAGGAUUUCGAGCUAAUACCAUUUGGCAGUGGAAGAAGAAUGUGUCCUGCAGUCUCAUUUGCUUCUCAAGUUGUGAACCUCAUACUUGCUACUUUGUUACAUUCUUUUGAAAUUGAAAAUCCAUCAGGCCAACCAGUUGACAUGAGUGAGAGCGCUGGACUGACAAACCUUAAAGCCACCCCUCUGGAUGUUUUCCUUAUGCCGCGCCUUCCUCCUCCCCUUUAUGCUGCUACAACGUAAUUAAGGAACUGUGUCUGUGUUAGCCGAGCUCUAUCUAUGCUACAUUUUCCUUUAUUGAUUUGCCAGUAUACUUUUAUGUUUGCCUUACGCGUCUAUAUAAAGAUGAAUCCCUUUGAAAUUGAUAACCCCGGCCUUUUUAUUAAAUAAGGUUGUUGAAAAAGAUUUUGUGAAAAGUAUAUUAUAAAAUUGCAUCAAUUUCAAUUUCAAUUUGAUCCAUUUCAAACAUGAGAAAAAAACAAAAAAAAAGAGGUUUCACCCGUUCAUGCAAGAGCACUUUGCAGAACAGUUAUUUGCUAUUCUUUGACAAUAACAAUUCAAAUUUCACAAAUCAAUUCAAUGAAAAAAUGCUAAAGGGUUGCUUCUUUGUUAAAAUAUUUAUUUGCUGUAUAAAAAGGCGAAAAGACCAUAUUUUCAUUUGAGAAUGACAUAGACAUCAAUGAAAGGUUUGCAAGUAAAACCUCACAAGGGGAUCCAGCAAAUUAAAGGUGAGAAUUGUGUUAAAAUAUGAAAACUAAUAAUGUAUUAUGGAAUAUAUAUUAUACUCCACUUUCGCGGAUCUAACUCCGCACUGAGUUGGCCACUCGAAGAUGGGAUUCGAGAUACAAUUUUCGAGAUGAAUUUUUUUAAUGAUAUUAUAUCUUUUUAUAUUUUUCCUGAGUAUAUAAAUAUAUAAUUUUUUUUAGUGUAUUUUAUUUAAAAAAGGGAAAAUUACUUCUUAGUCUCUGAGAUUUAACGUAAUUAACACUUUUGUCCCUCUAUUUUAGCGACCCAACACUUAAGUCCCUCACUUUCUCUUCCGUCUAAAUUCGUAGUCCUUCCGUCCAUUUAAACCGUUUGGUCAAAGAGUCAAAAGUGAGAGGUGAUAAUUUUUUCCAAAAAUACCCUUCUCUCAAUGUGAAAUUCCUAUUUUUUUUCUUUCAUGUUUUCUCCGGUUGAAGAAGAAGAAGAAGAAGAAGAAGAAGAAGAAGAAGAAUAAGAAUAAGAAGUUGCAGAAAGGCUAGGAAGAAGAAGAAGAAAGAAAAAGAAGAAAAAGAAGUUGCAAAAAGGGUAGGAAGAAGAAGAAGAAGAAGAAGAAGAAGUUGCAGAAAGGGUAGGAAGAAGAAGAAGAAGAAGAAGAAGAAGUUGCAGAAAGGGUAGGAAGAAGAAGAAGAAGAAGAAGAAGAAGAAGUUGCAGAAAGGGUAGGAAGAAGAAGAAGAAGAAGUUGCAGAAAGGGUAGGAAGAAUAAGAAGAAAGAAGAAGAAGAAGAAGAAGUUGCAGAAAGGGUAGGAAGAAGAAGAAGAAAAGAAGAAGAGGCAUUUGGGUUUGGGUUUAGUGAGGGUUAAUUUUGUCAAUUCACAUAUCCCAAACGGCUAUUUUGGACGGAAGGAUUACGAAUUGGGACAGAAAAUAAAGUGAAGAACUUAAGUGUUGGGUCGCCAAAAUAGAAGGACAGAAGUGUUAAUUACGUUAAAUCUCAGAGACUAAAAAGUAAUUUUUCUUUAAAAAAACUCAUACAAAAAUAAAAUAAAAAUUUUAACUAAAUUGAUGAACUACAUUAAAUCUAUGUAUUAAUUUUUUUUUAUAUGUAUUUUUAAUUUGUGUGAUUGUCGGAUUCUCAACGAAUUUGAGUGGUUACAAGGUAGAUUAAAGAUCAAGAAGUGAACGAAUAGAGCACUUUUAUAUGCCUUCAUAGUACUGUAAUGUUCAAUGAGUGUUGCUUUUGAUUAUAUUUCGAUAAAGAGCACUUUUACAUGCCUUCGUAGUAUUGUAAUGUUCAAUGAGUGUUGCUUUUGAUUAGAUUUCGAUAAAAAGUAUAAGAAAAUUUUGAGAAGCUAUCUAUUUUAAAAAAAAAUAAAUUCAAAGUAUAAAAAUAAUUAAAUUCAAUUCAGGAAAGAAAUACAAAUUUAAUUCACCAAACCCUGGAUGAUUUGCACUUAGGAAUUGAAUCGGAAAACUGACAUACACCAAAUUGGAAACAAACCCAUUCCAUCCUAGAUUUCUAUACACAAUAAACCUAUAUCCCAAUCCGCGGCAACAGAUCCAAAGGAGCGAUGAAGAGAUAAGGUUGCGAUCGAAAUUGAGGUGUUAAUGGUUUGUCUGGUGAAAGAUUCACCAGAUGGCAUACAGCAGUUUUCGGUAGACAGUUUCACAAGGAGGUUCUAACUGGGCCUCUUUCUCAAGUGGCAUAUAGUAAAUUAUUAAUAAUUCAAAAAGCUGUAUUUAUGUUGUGGAAAGGACAAAACGCCUUUAUUUUUAAAAAUCUUGACAUGUCAUGGAGCAAUAUUUUAUUUGCAAUGGAUACGCAUGUAGAGGAGUCUCUUAAUGCUACUACCUUGAUGGAUAGGAAAGAGCUUUAUGAAGCUAGUGAUAACAGUCUGCAGCUUCGUUAGUCUCCUCCUCAAUAUAAUUAAGUAUAAUUUAAUUUUGAUGCUGAGAGUGAUAAAAUUCGAUGCGGAUGAGCCUUAGCAGUUAUUUCACAACAUUGGUUGGAGCAAUCACUUUUUUUGGAGUUGUUGCGCUAGUUAUAAAGGAUAAGGAGGAUUAUUUGAUUCCGGAAGCUUUGGCAUGUUUUGAAAUGGAUCUACCAGUGGGCCUAAGGAGUUACGGGCUUUUUAAAAAUUUUAAAAAUUUUUAAAGGUAUAUAAGUAAUUUUUUUAAAAUAUAAAAUUACCAUUAAAUCCUUUUAUAUUUAAAAAAUUUAUCAACUCAUUUUUAUUUUAAAAUUAUUUAAUUUAAUAAUUAUAGUUUAUAAAAUCAAAUUCUUUAAUCCAUUUAUCAAAGAAAUUUUUACUAUAUAGUUUCUCAUUUUCUCUAUUAUUUUUUAAUUUAAAAAAUUUACUUUUAAAUUUCUAUUUAAUUUUUUUUAGAUUAUUCACUUAUUAAUUAAUUUAAUUUUAUAUACUAUUUUUAUUAUUAAGUAAUAAUUUUUUUAUUUAUUUCACUUAAUUAUUAAUUUAUUUAUAUAAUUGAAAUUAUAUAAAAAUAAAUUUUAAUGGGUUAAAAUAUUUAAUUUUAAAAAAAUUAAAUUUCCCAACUUUUUCCAUAAACCUCGCUUCUUAGCUUUCUUAGUCUGCAAGUCUACCUGUUUUCUCCAACCGUGUCAAUCACCCUUGACAUCCAGAGGCUCUCUCCUUCUGUCUGAUGGCCAAUCUACUCCAAUUGGCAUUUUUCCUCUAUAGCCAACAGAAUCAGCCCAUCUAACCUUAUUUGGAUUGGCCACAUAAAUUCAAAUGCAGAAUUGAUUCCAACAAUUUCAAAAGCAAAUUUUUUCUCGAAGUUGUGGGAAUUUUCUGUGGUACUACCUUUGAAUCAUGACAUAUAGAAUUUGUUAAGUGAGAUGUGAUUCUUGCAUGAAGUAGCGGGAUUAAAGACAAUCUAUAAACCAGUUCAAAAAACUUUAAUUAUUUUAAUUUAAAUAAAAAAUAAAUAUAAAAUAAAACAAUCCCGCCCAAAUUAUUUAGUAAUUUCGUAUUAGAUAUUAUAUAUAAUUUCAAUUUCCUAUAAUCUAUCGAUUUGGAACCGCUUCCGCAGCUGAAGCAAAUAGCUAACCAUUACACUCAGCCCCACUAAAUUUGCGACGUCCUCAUCAUAACUAAAUCGAUUACAAUUGCUAACCAGCUAAUCAUUAUACUCAGUUCCACUAAAUUUGCGACGUCAUCGUCGCAACUGAAUAGAUUGCAAUUGCUAAUCAGAACUGAAUUCUUGGGUAUUGUGGUUCGCUAGUAUCUCGAGCGGCUCCAUCUCGUCUCUCACUAGUAGCCCUUUUCUCGUAAACCCAUUAGUUCCGCACAAUUUGUUUGACCCAGAGUGACUCUGAUAUCAAUUGAAACAGUCCGGUCCAAUCUGACUCAAAUAACUUUGGACCCACUUUUUAUUUGAUCCAAAAUAGUUAACUCAGGUUAUUUAGUAGUUUCAUACUAACUAUUAUAUACAAUUCCAAUUUUCUAUGAUUUACCGAUGUGGGACGGCUUUCGCAGCGGAAGCAAGCAGCUAUCCGUUACACUAUUGAAACAGUGCGGUCUAAAUUAAUCCAAAUAACUUUUUGGACCCAUUUUUCACUUCGUCCAAAAUAAUUAACUCAAGUUAUUUAGUAGUUUCGUGCUAACUAUUAUAAUAAUUCUGAUUUACUAUAAUCUCCCGAUGUGGGACGGCUUCCGCAGCGAAAGCAGGCAGUUGACCAUUAUACUCGGUCUCGCUAAAUUUACGACUUACUCAUCGCAACUGAAUCGGAUACAAUUGCUAAUCAGGACUAGUAUCUCGGGCGGCUCAUCUCGUCUCUCACGGGUAUCCUUUCCUUGCAGGUCCAUUAACUCUGCACAACUCGUUGCAACUGAAUCGGAUAUAAUUACUAAUCAGAACCGGACCCUCGGAUAUAAAAUGGUUUAUCAUCCAUACAAAAUAUCAAAGAUUUAAGAUGCAUGCAUUAUUUUGAAAAUAAAACAAAUCAUCCAAAAUGUUAAUCCGGCAAAAAUUAUUUAAUAAUUAAAAAUUUAUUUCUUUUUACCGGCAAUACAUUGCAUUGCAUUGCAAUGCUGUUAAAAUGUAUCAGGGUUUUACAAUAACUCAGAGCUCUACUUGAGUUAUGAUUGUGUUAAUCAAGCUCUAAUUAUGCUAUAUUUUCCUUCGUUGAUUUAUCAAUAUCCUUUGAAAUUAAUUAACUCUCUUUUCCAACGGUCUAUUUUUCAAAUAUCAAACUUGAAUUAUCUCCAAUAUUUUAUCACUAUACCUCAUUAUUAAUGAUUCUAAGUUAUAUUUUUUAUAAAAAAAAUAUUUAUACAAUUACAAUUCUAGCCUUUGACUAACCCUUCCCCAUAAGUAUCCCAAGUUCAUGGAAUCUGAUUAACUUUGUGUAACGGAGAAUGGACACAAUCAAUCAUAGCACUAUUAACCACAUGCGCUUCAGCUGCUGGUAAUUUUACUAAACCUAAUGAGUUUAAAUAAUGUUUUCUCAUAAUUUUAAAAAAUAUAUUAAAACAUUUAUAAAAUUUUAAAAUUUAUUAGAUAGUCUCCCUGUUAAUUUCAGUAGUAUAAUAUUACAAAAAUAAAAAAUUAUUAUUUAAUUUCUGUAAUUAAAAAAUUUAUUAUUUAGUCAAUUAAUUUUAAAAAAUAUAUGAAAAUAUUUUUAAAAUUUUUAAAAAAAUAUACUAAUUAAUCACUCUAUUAAUUUUAAUUAUUAAAUGUUAUAAAAAAUUUAAAAUAUUUUCGAUAUGAAUGAAUUAAUUAAUAGACAUUUUUAUAAAAUUGAAGGAUUAAUUAAUAAAUUUCUCCUAUUAUAUGGAUUAAAUAAUAAAAUAUUUAAUAUUUAAAUUAAUUAAAAAACUAAUUAGUAUAUUUUUUAAUUCAUUAAAAUAUUUUAAAUUAUUUUUUUAAAAUUAAGAGAUUUUUUUUAUAAAAUAAAUAUUUUUAUAAAAUUAAGAGAUCAAUUAAUGAGUUUUUUAUAUUAUAAAGAUUAAAUAAUAAAAAAAUUUAAUAAUUAAAACUAAUAUAAUAACUAAUUAAUAGUUUUUUAAAAUUUUAAUAAUAUUUUAAUAUAUUUUUUAAAAUUAAAAUUUUUUUAUAUUAUAAUAACUAAAUAAUAAUUUUUUUAAUUAUUAUAAAUAAUUUAUUCUAUAAAUUAAUUAAAUAAAUAUAUAUUUUAAAAAAAUAAAUUUAAUCGAUGAAAAUAAAAUUUUAAAAUUAUUAAUAAUAAUAUGAUAAAAAAUUUUAAAAAAAUAAUAGUUUAAUAUAAUAUGUAAUAACAAAACUAAUAUUUUUAAUUUAUAAUUUUAAUUUUUUGAUUUUAAAAUAUUUUUUAAAAAGUAAUAAAAAUAAAAACGCAACGAAUAAUCAUCGAAUAAUUUUUUUAUAUUAAUAAGUUUUAAAAAAAUAUAUGUAAUUUUUUUUUCUUUCAAUUUGGAUCUCAAAGUUGAAUUAAUUUCAAUUGAUAGAGUUAAAAUGUCAGACGGGAUAUAUUCAAUUAAAAAAAUGUCUAGUAAAAUUUAUUCAAUGACUUCUAUAUCUUGGGCUAAUUACUUAAAUUUAUCUGCACUUUAAUAGUAAAUUUGAGUGGCUAAAUCUAAUAGAAAAUUAGCAUUCUAAAUAAUAUUUUAAUAUAAUUUAAUAGAGAUAAUUAUAAAAAAAAUUUAAAUUUUAUCAAUUUCAAUAAUUAUAUUUUAAAAUUUUUAAAUAAAUAUACUCAAAAUUUAUUAUUCAAUAUAAUUUAAUUUUUAAUUUUGAUUUGCAUAUAAGUUCGGAUAAGGCAUUCACUCUUUUUUUUUUUAAUCGAUAAUUAUUGUCAUUUGGGUAACUAUAAUUAGUUGUAAUAAUAUACUUUUAAAAAAUUAAGAAUUAUAAUUUUUUCUAAUUAAAAAAAUUAAUUAUAUUUAUUAUAAUCACUCUGAUUGUACCAAAAAUUAAUAAUCAAUUUAAUAAAUUAAAAAUAAUUAAAUUCAUUAAACAAUAAAUAAAUUAUAAUCAUAAAAUAAAUUAAAUUUAAUCAUUUUUUAUUAAUUAGGAUAAUAUUUAUCCGCGAGAAAAAUGCAAUAAAUAUAUGAUUAAUUUAUUUUGAUCUCAAAAUAUCUGAUUAAUUUUUAAACAAAGAGUAUCGUGAUUUUUUAUUUUUUAAAUUUUUUUUUUUUUUGUGAAAACUUAAUUGUUUUCUGGCCAAGAUGUUGAUAUUAUCAACAAAUCUACGUGCAUGGUAUAGAUCAGAAAAUUAUAUACCUUACCCCUUAAAUUAUAGAAAGAUCGAUUUUUUAUUUGUUCUGAAAUGCUAUAAUUUCUCUUGUUCAUACAGGCUCUAAUUCUAGGAGCUUCAGACACUACAACGGUGACACUAACUUAGGCUUUGUCAUUACUACUCAACAAUCGCCACGUCCUAAAGAAAGCACAACAAGAAUUAGACAGCGUUGUCGGUAGAGAAAGGCAAGUGAACGAAUCAGACAUGAAGGAUUUGGUUUACCUUCAAGCCAUCAUCAAAGAAAUUUUUAGGUUGUAUCCUGCUGCUCCAUUAUCAGUGCAACAUGAAUCCAUAGAAGACUGCAGUGUAGGAGGCUAUCACAUUCCAUCAGGCACACGCCUUAUUGUAAAUCUCUCAAAACUUCAUAGAGAUUCACGGGUAUGGUUGAAUCCUUCAGAGUUUAAACCAGAAAGGUUUCUUACA